CUGCAAAUCUUUUCACUGACUUCACCAAGUCAUGUAAAGGAUUAAACACAAGCUGGUCUAAAGAUACCUAAAUCAAUCACACUAAUUCACCUUAAUGGCAUGGGUCUGCACGAAUCGACUAGUAACCUAAUCAAAACAUAAUCUACCAUGUUGGUCAGGUAAGUGAGAUCAAUGGGAGGGAUCUACUCUAAACUCAUCGUAGAUGCAUCUAGGUGAAUAGCUCCCAAUU
rnacentral:lncRNA from 1 species